rnacentral:lncRNA from 1 species
CCACUUUAUUAUCAGCAAGGAAUUGUUUCAAUUCCUUUUGCUUAGGAGACUGAUUAAGUCCCCUAAUGUUCCAUGUGACUACAAUCAUGGAUCAGUAUUAGGCAGACUAUAAGAGGGACCAGGAUCAAAUUGUUGCCCCCUCUUUUCCAGUUCAUGCAUGACUGCUUUGCCCCUAUUACCUGUACUGUCCAACUGCUCAUCAUCUGUAAUACCAACCAUAUGUACUGCAGUAAUUUGGUUUUCUGACUCUUUUGGCUCACUAUUCCCUGCAUUUUGAAUGCUAACAUCCUGAGCUGCCUGCACUUCAUGUCCAGCUGAUUCUUCAGAGCCAUCCUGUUUAUUCUGCACUUCGUCAUUGGACACAGUCUUCCUAACAAUCCACUCCUUCUUAUUGUGCUUCCCCUGAUAAGUGUUUCUG